GCCUGGCUAGUUCAGUUGGUAGAACAUGAGGCUCUUAAUCUCAGGGUCAUGAGUUCAAGCCCCACAUUAGGCA
rnacentral:tRNA from 1 species